rnacentral:rRNA from 1 species
CUACGGGUUGCACCAGUGGGGAAUCUUAGACAAUGGGCGCAAGCCUGAUCUAGCCAUGCCGCGUGAGUGACGAAGGCCUUAGGGUCGUAAAGCUCUUUCGCUGGGGAAGAUAAUGACGGUACCCAGUAAAGAAACCCCGGCUAACUCCGUGCCAGCAGCCGCGGUAAUACGGAGGGGGUUAGCGUUGUUCGGAAUUACUGGGCGUAAAGCGCGCGUAGGCGGAUCAGAAAGUUGGGGGUGAAAUCCCGGGGCUCAACCCCGGAACUGCCUUCAAAACUCCUGAUCUUGAGUUCGAGAGAGGUGAGUGGAAUUCCGAGUGUAGAGGUGAAAUUCGUAGAUAUUCGGAGGAACACCAGUGGCGAAGGCGGCUCACUGGCUCGAUACUGACGCUGAGGUGCGAAAGCGUGGGGAGCAAACAGGAUUAGAUACCCUUGUAGUC